rnacentral:rRNA from 1 species
UACGUAGGGUGCGAGCGUUGUCCGGAAUCAUUGGGCGUAAAGAGCGUGUAGGCGGUCCGGUAAGUCCGUUGUGAAAGUCAAGGGCUCAACCCUUGAAUGCCGGCGGAUACUGUCGGGCUAGAGUCCGGAAGAGGCAAGUGGAAUUCCCGGUGUAGCGGUGAAAUGCGCAGAUAUCGGGAGGAACACCUAUGGCGAAGGCAGCUUGCUGGGACGGUACUGACGCCGAGACGCGAAAGCGUGGGGAGCAAACAGG